rnacentral:rRNA from 1 species
CAGCCGCCGCGGUAAUACGAAGGGGGCUAGCGUUGCUCGGAAUGACUGGGCGUAAAGGGCGCGUAGGCGGCGGCCAAAGUCAGGCGUGAAAUCCCCGGGCUCAACCUGGGGGCUGCGUUUGAUACUUGGUUGCUUGAGUGGGGAAGAGGGUCGUGGAAUUCCCAGUGUAGAGGUGAAAUUCGUAGAUAUUGGGAAGAACACCGGUGGCGAAGGCGGCGACCUGGUCCUUUACUGACGCUGAGGCGCGAAAGCGUGGGGAGCAAACAGGAUUAGAGACCCCGGUAGUCCCUGUCUCUUAUAC